rnacentral:lncRNA from 1 species
GCCCUCUCUCACACAAAUGUAUCUUCAAAGGAGAACAGAAAUGAGGUCACAGUACCUGUCAAUAGCAAAAUAACAAGAGACAAACUGGAAUGAAAAGCAAGGUAUCUCUACACAAAUGGAACUUGGAGACUGAGUGUGAAUUCUGUGACAGUGUUCUAUAAAGAAGAAGACAAACGAGCAUGAAGAGAGGACAGGAAAUUUGAAUCCUAAAUGUGACUUCCUGAACACAGCUUCAUCCAGUGAAGGUGAAUUGUGUCUCCCUGGGGAUG